AUGAAGAUCGGGAAAGCUCCUGAGCUCCUGAAGAAGGCUGCAGCGAUGUGCAAGAGCAAGACCACCAGGUUUCUCAUCCUUGCCUCGCUCCAGCGUCGUAGGAUGGCUACGGCUGCUGUGGUCUCCCGCAAGAUCGACACGCUCAUUGUGGCCGACUGGGAGAGAGCAGACCGCCACAAGGCUCUUGCGCUGGGCAUGGUCGAGAAGAGACCGGUUAUCGUCCAUGAGAGUGAAUUUGAGGCCAAUUUCUCUCAUCGCUUGGCGAUGUUCGGUCAAGAUAAUGGUCAUGAUUGCUUUCCAGCUGACCGAACACUGCAUCCCCUCUUCAACGAGGACCACGAGAAUUGUCGUUACACUGACGAUGAUGAUGUGGUACUUGAUUCAUGUGAUCAAGAUGAUGACGAUGAGCCAUCGGUCAUGGAUGUGAUCAAGAGAAACCGAGAAGUUGAAGGGUUGGAGUUCAACAUGGAGGAGGAUAUUGAUCAAGCUGCUGAUAUGUUCAUUAGGAGGUUCCGGCAACGGCUGAACGAGGAAUUUUAG
rnacentral:rRNA from 1 species